rnacentral:rRNA from 1 species
GACGAACGCUGGCGGCGUGCCUAAUACAUGCAAGUAGAACGCUGAAGGAGGAGCUUGCUCUUCUGGAUGAGUUGCGAACGGGUGAGUAACGCGUAGGUAACCUGCCUGGUAGCGGGGGAUAACUAUUGGAAACGAUAGCUAAUACCGCAUAAGAGUAGAUGUUGCAUGACAUUUGCUUAAAAGGUGCAAUUGCAUCACUACCAGAUGGACCUGCGUUGUAUUAGCUAGUUGGUGGGGUAACGGCUUACCAAGGCGACGAUACAUAGCCGACCUGAGAGGGUGAUCGGCCACACUGGGACUGAGACACGGCCCAGACUCCUACGGGAGGCAGCAGUAGGGAAUCUUCGGCAAUGGACGGAAGUCUGACCGAGCAACGCCGCGUGAGUGAAGAAGGUUUUCGGAUCGUAAAGCUCUGUUGUAAGAGAAGAACGAGUGUGGGAGUGGAAAGUUCACACUGUGACGGUAUCUUACCAGAAAGGGACGGCUAACUACGUG